rnacentral:rRNA from 1 species
CCUAGGGAGGCAGCAGUGGGGAAUAUUGCACAAUGGGCGCAAGCCUGAUGCAGCCAUGCCGCGUGUGUGAAGAAGGCCUUCGGGUUGUAAAGUACUUUCAGCGGGGAGGAAGGUGUUGUGGUUAAUAACCGCAGCAAUUGACGUUACCCGCAGAAGAAGCACCGGCUAACUCCGUGCCAGCAGCCGCGGUAA